rnacentral:lncRNA from 1 species
CGGGUGGCGGGUGACAGGUCGCGGGCAGGCACGUGCCGGGCCCUUGCGGUCGGUCGGCGGAGGGGAUCAAGGCAGGGCUCGGUGUCCGCGGUCGGAGUGGGGUCUGGCGUCCCGUUGACCGUCGCCGUCGUCCUCGUUAGUAUAGUGGCUCUCUUCCAGGUUUGAGACCCUCUAGCUGGACAAGAUUCCCGGGCUCGCGUUCAGUUCUCAACACGAGACCACUGGCUAUGGCGCCGGGCAGGCGGAGCUGUGACUAUCA